GAUGAAGAACGCAGCGAAAUGCGAUACGUAAUGUGAAUUGCAGAAUUCAGUGAAUCAUCGAAUCUUUGAACGCACAUUGCGCCUUCUGGUAUUCCGGCGGGCACGCCUGUCCGAGCGUCAUUUCAACCCUCAAGCCCUCCUUCGGGAUGGGCCUGGUGUUGGGGCUCGGCCGCCAUCUCCGGCGGCCGUCCCCUAAAUACAGUGGCGGUCACGUCGCGACUCCUUUGCGUAGUAGAAACACCUCGCUCCGGAUAGCAACGCGGUCCACGCCGUAAAAUCCCCAAUUUUCAAUGGUUGACCUCGGAUCAGGUGGGAAUACCCGCUGAACUUAAGCAUAUCAAUAAGCGGAGGA
rnacentral:misc_RNA from 1 species